rnacentral:rRNA from 1 species
AGCGAACGCUGGCGGCAGGCUUAACACAUGCAAGUCGAGCGGACCUUUCGGGGUCAGCGGCGGACGGGUGAGUAACGCGUGGGAACGUGCCUUCCGGUUCGGAAUAACCCUGGGAAACUAGGGCUAAUACCGGAUACGCCCUUAUGGGGGAAGGUUUACUGCCGGAAGAUCGGCCCGCGUCUGAUUAGCUAGUUGGUGGGGUAACGGCCUACCAAGGCGACGAUCAGUAGCUGGUCUGAGAGGAUGAUCAGCCACACUGGGACUGAGACACGGCCCAGACUCCUACGGGAGGCAGCAGUGGGGAAUAUUGGACAAUGGGCGCAGGCCUGAUCCAGCCAUGCCGCGUGAGUGAUGAAGGCCUUAGGGUUGUAAAGCUCUUUUAUCCGGGACGAUAAUGACGGUACCGGAGGAAUAAGCCCCGGCUAACUUCGUG